rnacentral:rRNA from 1 species
UACAGAGGGGGCAAGCGUUGUUCGGAAUUAUUGGGCGUAAAGAGCUUGUAGGCGGUUUGUCGCGUCUGCUGUGAAAUUUCGGGGCUCAACCCCGAACUUGCAGUGGGUACGGGCAGACUAGAGUGUGGUAGGGGAGACUGGAAUUCCUGGUGUAGCGGUGAAAUGCGCAGAUAUCAGGAGGAACACCGAUGGCGAAGGCAGGUCUCUGGGCCACUACUGACGCUGAGAAGCGAAAGCAUGGGGAGCGAACAGG